AGUGAACGCUGGCGGUAGGCCUAACACAUGCAAGCCGAACGGCAGCACAGUAAGAGCUUGCUCUUACGGGUGGCGAGUGGCGGACGGGUGAGGAAUACAUCGGAAUCUACUUUUUCGUGGGGGAUAACGUAGGGAAACUUACGCUAAUACCGCAUACGACCUACGGGUGAACGCAGGGGAUCUUCGGACCUUGCGCGAUUGAAUGAGCCGAUGUCGGAUUAGCUAGUUGGCGGGGUAAAGGCCCACCAAGGCGACGAUCCGUAGCUGGUCUGAGAGGAUGAUCAGCCACACUGGAACUGAGACACGGUCCAGACUCCUACGGGAGGCAGCAGUGGGGAAUAUUGGACAAUGGGCGCAAGCCUGAUCCAGCCAUACCGCGUGGGUGAAGAAGGCCUUCGGGUUGUAAAGCCCUUUUGUUGGGAAAGAAAAGCAGCAGGUUAAUACCCCGCUGUUCUGACGGUACCCAAAGAAUAAGCACCGGCUAACUUCGUG
rnacentral:rRNA from 1 species